rnacentral:rRNA from 1 species
CAAAGGAAUUGACGGGGACCGGCACAAGCGGUGGAGCAUGUGGUUUAAUUUGAAGCAACGCGAAGAACCUUACCAGGCCUUGACAUCCCGGUGACCGCGCAUGUAAUGUGCGCUCCCUUCGGGGCACCGGAGACAGGUGGUGCAUGGUUGUCGUCAGCUCGUGUCGUGAGAUGUUGGGUUAAGUCCCGCAACGAGCGCAACCCUUAUCCUUAGUAGCCAGCAGUUCGGCUGGGCACUCUGGGGAGACUGCCAGGGACAACCUGGAGGAAGGUGGGGAUGACGUCAAAUCAUCAUGCCCCUUAUGGCCUGGGCUACACACGUGCUACAAUGGCGUAAACAAAGGGAGGCAGCGGCGUGAGCCUGAGCGAACCCCAAAAAUAACGUCUCAGUUCGGAUUGCAGUCUGCAACUCGACUGCAUGAAGCUGGAAUCGCUAGUAAUCGCGGAUCAGAAUGCCGCGGUGAAUACGUUCCCGGGUCUUGUACACACCGCCCGUCACACCAUGGGAGUUGGAAACGCCCGAAGUCAGUGGCCCAACCGCAAGGAGGGAGCUGCCGAAGGCGGGUUCGAUGACUGGGGUGAAGUCGUAACAAGGUAGCCGU